UACAGAGGGGCAAGGCGUUGUCCGGACUGACUGGGCGUAAAGGGCGCGCAGGCGGUCACGGGCGUCGAUGCUGAAAGCGCACCGCUUAACGGUGCAAUGCGUGUCGAUACGCCGUGACUGGAGCGCGGGCGAGGGUGGUAGAAUUGCCGGUGUAGUGGUGAAAUGCGUAGAGAUCGGCAGGAAUACCCGUGGCGAAGGCGGCCACCUAGCCCCGUUGCUGACGCUGAGGCGCGACAGCGUGGGGAGCGAACAGG
rnacentral:rRNA from 1 species